UAUUCUUCCAAAUGAUUCUGUUUUAGCUAGGUCUUUCUUAUAUACUGUCAAUUAGAGCAGGGAAUGAAGAAAGAGAACGCAUUCAGAAGAGCAAGAGCAGUAGGCAGCUAUUUGGGAAGGCUGAGAUGUCUUCUGCAAACCUAGAUAUCAUCGCCAUGUUCAUAGAAGAAAUGGAGGGAAGAAGGAAAACUUGGUGUGUACAGAUUUACCAGGGAAGCCACAUCACUUCACUAAGAGACUUUCUCCUAAGACUCAGAAACCUCAAAUGGAUCUCAAGCUACUUUUAACUGCAAAGGAGACUGCCAAAGCAAGGAGUAGAGUUUUAUGGUUGGGGUAUAUCACUCAUUAAACAGCAUAAACCAAAGCGAGGUACCCAAAGCAAGGCCAAGAAAGGGAUGUACCUGUACAGGGGCGUCUCCCACUGAAUGCAAAACAGAUUUCUGAGGACUCAAAUAAAUGGUAGCAGUUGAACUUGAAAACAAGAACAGAAUUCAAAGUGCCACUAAACUGCUGGUGAAUUUACUAUUCUUCUCCUCUCUUAUACUGCCUGGCCUAGACUUAUAGGAAGCACAAAAUUAGA